AUCCAGCUGACGGGUCCCAAAAAGAGGACGAAACACGUGUUGUGGAU
rnacentral:hammerhead_ribozyme from 1 species